UAAGAGGCUUUUAUAAAAGCCAUAUUUAAAUGUCUUGAAUUUUUAU
rfam:Physcomitrella patens subsp. patens PHYPAscaffold_243 genomic scaffold, whole genome shotgun sequence.